UGCGCUGCCCGCCGCGAGCCCCUAGGAGCCCUUGGGUGCACCCCACCCCAUUUCAGGGCGUGUCUCCUUCUCUGUAGCAUGCAGGGCGCCCACAUGACCCUCUGGGGUCCAGAACUCUGUUCCAGCCGCCCCGCGAUGACAGCAGGCAGAAAGAGGAGUCAGGGCACUAUGCCACUGGAAAGAGAAUUCCUCUUUUGUGGCUGGAAGGGUGAGAAGCUGCAAACCAGAGGCCCCGUCUGGCUGGCGUGAAUGGAAGGCCAAACGCUCCACCAAAUUGCUCUGGGAAUGUCAUUCUAAUUAUUGGAUCCUGACCCAGCGGCUUGCUGAUAAGCUCCGGGUUGGAGACGCCCCAUCUCGGAAGAGCUCAAAGCCCGCUUCUCCCCGCCACCCCCACCCCUGUGGCAUCCCUGCCAAGCAAUUAGCCCCGAGGCUGCCUGAGAGCUGAUGGCUGGGAGGAGGGCCGAAGGGUCGGGAUGUCUUCCCACUCCGCUCCCGCAAGAGGCAGCUCUAGCUCCUCGGGGUUUCCCUUCUCUGCCCCCCCCCUUCAGUGCAAGCCCUGUGUUCUACUCUGCGUAAUGGGGAGCUUAGAGGACUCUACACCCUGGUUCUGGGCUCCUGUGAUAGGCUGACUUAUGUCCUCCCAAAUUCCUAUGUUCAAGUCCUAACCCCCAGGACCUCAGAGUGUGAUCAUAUUUGAAAAUGGGGUCUUGGGGAUCCCUGGGUGGCGCAGCGGUUUGGCGCCUGCCUUUGGCCCAGGGCGCGAUCCUGGAGACCCAGGAUCGAAUCCCACGUCGGGCUCCCAGUGCAUGGAGCCUGCUUCUCCCUCUGCCUGUGUCUCUGCCUCUCUCUCUCUCUCUCUGUGUGACUAUCAUAAAUAAAUAAAAAAAGAAAAGAAAAGAAAAUGGGGUCUUUAAAAAGACACCUAAGGAGUGCCUGGGUGACUCAGUCGGUUCAGCGCCUGCCUUCGGCUCAGGUCAUGAUCCCAGGGUCCUGGGAUCGAGUCCCGCACCAGGCUCCUUGCUCAGCGGGGAGCCUGCUUCUCCCUCUGCCUCUGCCCCUCCCCCUGCUCAUGUUCUCUCUCCCUCUCCCUCUCAAGUAAAUAAUGUCUUUAAAAAAUAGGUAACUAGGGGGCACUUGAUGGGAUGAGCACUGGGUGAUAUGCUCUAUGUUGGCAAAUUGAGCUCCAAUAAAAAAAUAAAUUUAAAAAAAUAGGUAACUAAGCUAAAAAUAAGUUUCCCAGGGUGCGGAUCCAGUGCAACUGGUGUCCUUAUAAGAGGAGGACACGAGGACACGGACACACACGGAAGGAAGGCCGUGCAAAGGCACAGGGAGAAGACGGCCAUCUACAAGCAAGAAGAGAGCCUCAAAGCAACCAACCUGCGGACACUGGUGUGAGAAACAAAGGCAGAAGGGAAUACAGAUAAAAUUAAAUGUCCAUAUAACCUGCAGCCCGACAAACCAUUGAGGCAGACAGAGCCUAAUGUUCCUCCAGGAAGCUCCUGUCUUAAUGUGAAUGCCUUGCUAGAGGGCAAAACGACCUUGGUCUGCCAAUAGCGAGGCCUCUGGUGUCCUGUGUCUUCUUUAGCAUAUGAGGUUCCUUUGGGAACUUCCCUUGUCUUUACUUCCCCCAACCCCAAAUGAUAUAAUAUUUGCUCCCAAGAAUCCUGGGGCGGCGGCACCUCCUUCUGCCCACAAGACCUGCCCCCACCCUUGCUUAAAUAAAACCCCCAUUUUUGCACUGAAGACGUCUCAAGAAUUCUUUCCUGGCCAUUGGCUCCGGACCCUACCAACCUCACUUAUAUUCAAAAAACGACAUCAACACCUUGGUCUCCGCCUCCUAGUCUCUGGAGCUCUGAAGAAACACGCGUCUGCUAGUUCACCACCUGGUCUGUGGCUGGUUGGCGGCCCUGGCACCCUCCUCCGCGACCUGCCAGCUGUAACAUGCUCUGGCCCUCCCCCUGACGGUCCUUCGGCCGCUCCCAGGGUCCAGGUGCGCGAAGACCAGGCUUCUCGGCGCCUCGCUCCAGCCUGUGCUAAGGAGAUUGCCAUUGUUACACGUGACAUGGACGGAGCAUCGCCAGAUCCUGGGUGAUUAGCAUACAUUUUCAGAAGAAUGACCACCGUAAGAAGUAUGAAAGACUUCGAUCCAUGGAGUCCAAUUGCCAUCCAGGUGGUUUGUAGCAGCUCCCCUGUCCUCAGCAGUUUAUGUGGGGCUGCAGCAAGAACCCCGAAAGGAGGAGGUCCAUGUCCCAGGACACUACACACCACGGAACCAUGCAAACAGAAGCUGUGUUACCAUUUGAGUGGUCAUUUGAGCCUGCGCCCUUGCAAAGCUAAAUCCAGCCACAGAAGUGUCCCAGACACAGGCUGCCACCCUGUCUUCAACCUCGGACUUUCACUUACAGGCUGCGGGACAGGCCGGAACAAGAAGCACCGCAACCAGACCGCGUUUUGGGUUUACUCCUCUGUGACUUGACCUCUCUGAGACGCAGCUUCCUCCUCUGCUUUAAAAUUGGUUGGUCCUAUCUAUCUCACAGAGUUGUUAUAAAAAUUCGGUGAAAUAGUUUGGGUAAAAUCCCCAUUGACUCAACAAACAUGGAGCAUCCAGUCUGUGACAGGCAUGACUAAAGGCAGCGGGAAUAAGAUGAUGAACAGAGACGAGAUUCCACUCUCCCAGAGCAGAGAAAAUAGACCGGAACUGUGUAUAAUCAGGUGCUUUCUGCUGCCAGUAGCACAACAUCUGACAAAAUGUGACUCCAAACGGCGUCGACAAACCGGGUAUCUAACAUCUUACAUAUAAUUAUCCAAAGACAGCAUCCCAGGGUUGGCUAACUCCCAGCUUCUCUGUGCAAUCGAGGUUAAUUUUUUCCAUCUUUCUGCUCUGCUACCCUCAGCAUACCGAUGUUUGUCUCCAGGCUGGUGCCCUCAUGGGCACAAGGUGGCUGCUGAAGCUCUGGGCUGACAUCCUCUGACAUCCUCAGGCAGCAUUAGGAGAAGGCCAGCAAAGCAUAGGACGCAUCUUCAUGUCUGCUUUUCUGUUUUUCUUUGAAGUGAAAUUUGCAUAACAUAAAAUCAGACAUUUUAAAGUGUACAAGUCACAAUGUUAGUACACUCACAAUGUUGCCCUAUAUCAAGUUCCAAAACAGGGACGCCUGAGUGGCUCAGCAGUUGAGCAUCUGCCUUCGGCUCAGGGGUCCCGGGAUCGAGUCCAGCAUUGGGUUCCCUGCAUGGAGCCUGCUUCUCCCUCUGCCUGUGUCUCUGCCUCUCUCUGUGUGUCUCUCAUGAAUAAAUAAAUAAGAUCCUUAAAAACAAAAAUACCAAAACUGAAGCAAAACGAAAAGUUCCAAAACAUGUUUACCGCCCUUAAAGAAAACCCUCGUGUUUGUUUUGAAGAAACCUUUUCCAGAAGCUCAAAAGAUGUGCCCUCAAGUCUUAUCAACUCUAAUUGAGUCACUUGAUCAUGAUUAAACCAUCAACAGGAAGACUGAAAUUCUUCCGCUUGGCUGAUCAAAAGCCCCUCGAGUUCAGUUCAGCAACCCCUGAGGCACAGGACCAAGACCAUGACCAUAAGAUUCCUGAAGGAAGGAAGGAAUGCAAUUGUCGGCAUGGGGUGGAGCUCAUAAUAGAUGCCCAAUGUAUGCUCUUCUUCUAUCGGAAUGAAAGUUGGAUGAAUGAGCAGAUACACUCCAGCCUUUCCAAUUUGCCAAAAUGAAAAAAUAAAUAAAUAAAUAAAUAAAUAAAUAAAUAAAUAAAUAAAUAAAUAAAACCAAAACAGCCCCUCCAAGGGAAUGUCCAAUUAAUUCUCAGUGCCCGGGAAAGGCAUCUUUGGAAUCAAAGAACAGCACACACUGUUUCAGAGGCGGCGAAGGAAUCGGCAUCUGGAGCCUGGAUGCUUUGCCAGCCGCUCGUGAAUUGCCCAAUUAUACUGCUUUUCUGAUCUUUCUCACUACCCCAAACCGACUGCUCUUCUAUUCUUUUUUAAAAAUGUUACUCAGUAACAGUAGACCAUAUUAUGCAUUUUUGAGACACCUGUUUGCAAUCACAUUGCCUUUUAUGGAACUAUUUUGAAGCUUGUUUUCAGGAGCUACCUAGAAAGCCAAAACGGGGCCGCUAAACACCUGCACAAAAUGUUCUUCCUGCUUCAUGCUGGAGGACGUGCUUCCCCCUUUUCCUUGCAUUAUGGGGGCCUGGGAGAGUGGCGUGUCGCUCUUACCUAUACAGUAGCACCUUCGAUGCAGAGAACCUUCCAGAUCAUCCCUGCAGCUCCCACCAGGAGUGAUGGCUAAUGAAACUGGCACCUUCCCCGCAGUCUCUCCCAGAACCCCCCCGUUCAGGUGACAUGGUAGGCCAGAGACUCCCAUCACAGGCAGAUGAAGGCAAUACGUUGGUGAACUGGGGGCUGAUGACUCAUCCCCUGUCUCAGAGAUCCUGGGUGUCAUUUAUUUAACAAAUUCUGAUGGGGCUCACGUAUGGCCCAACAUUGUGCUAGGCUCCAGACCUACCCAGGGCUGCGUGGACCCUGCCUCCUUGGAAAAUAAAGCUCACGUUAAUCAAAACACCUUCCAAAGACACAAUUAAACCCUGUGGGAACUCUGUUUGCAGCACUGAGACUGGCCCCGUCCAUUACCAGGAAAAAAAAAACAACAGCAGUGAUCAGAAUCUUAUAGUCAGAAAACUCUAAAUGCACAUGGAGCCCAGACAAAGGAGCAAACCAGUCCUUUUUGCUCUUCUCUGGAGCUUUUCACGCUUUUCACAUCCCUUCCAGCCUCCCUCCAGGGAAGUCAGGACCUCUCCUUCUCAAGGUAUUUUGGAUAUUAAUCUUUUGCUAGCAUCUGGUUUGCAAAUAUCUCUAUUUUCAUAGCUGGAUGGAUAUGGGAUAAAGCACGUGCAGUAAAAUAUAAGUCAGAGGUCAACAAAUUUUUUUUUUAAGGGACCAGGUAACAAAUACUUUCUGCAUUGCAAGCUCCAUGUGCUCCACUAUAGCUUCUCAGCUCUGGGUGUAACACUAAGGCAACCAUAGAUGAUUCGUCAGUGGAUGGGCCUAUUUCCAAUAAAAUGUUGUUUAUGGAUGCUACAAUCUGAAUUUCAUAUAAUUUUCACAUGUCACAAAGUAUCCUCCUUCAGAUUUUUUUUUUCUUCAACCACUUAACAACAUAAAAAUCGUCCUCAGCUCGUGGGCCACACAAAAGUAAGAGACAGGCUGGACCUGGCCUGUGGGCCACAGUUUGCCCAUCCCUAAUUUACGGGGUGGGAACAUGGGUAUUCUUUAACUUUUGGAGAUAUUUGAAGUUUUCCACGUAGAAUGGUGAGAAAUGACCUUUCCUGAGUCAAUGGUUUGUCUUUUCACUUUGUUUUGGGUAUUGUUGUGGCUUUUAAAUCAGUAUAAACAGGGACAUCUGGGUGGCUCAGUCGUUGAGCAUCUGCCUUCGACUCAGGGUGUGAUCCCGGGAUACUGGAAUCAAGUCCUGCAUCAGGCUCCCCACACGGAGCCUGCUUCUCCCUCUUCCUGUGUCUCUGCCUCUCUCUGUGUCUCUCAUGAAU